CCAAAUGUAAUGUUUCACGACCUAUUUUUUUCCAUGAAUAUUCAUUCUUUCUACAGUUGGAGGAAAAUAUUGUCAUUUAUAUGGAACUUAAAAACAUCACUAAAAUAAAAACAUCUGGUAAAAAUAGGCCAAUAUGUUAAAAUCCAAGAGGACGCAUUUGGGCUUUUUGUAUUCUGCUUUUUCCUCAUAAAAGGUCAAAUUCUUCGUAGAACUUCAUCUGUGUAUUAGGAAAUGCCGAACUGUUUAUCAAACAGCUGCACUACUAUACAUCCUCACCAGGAAUGUAUGAGUCUUCCAAUAGAUUUCCUACUGGUAGAGAGAUACACAAUGGAGAAAAGACAGUCUCUUCAAUUAGUGCUGCUGGGAAAACUGAACAGCUACAUGGCAGAAGAAUGAAAGUAGAGAAUAAUUAUUUUCAAGAACGAAAGCCACAACGUGCCACAGACUGAAUUCAAACUAUCAAAUGGUUUUCCAAAAGAUUCAAAUAAAUCUGAAAUUAUCUCCAUGACCUCCAGAGCUCCCUCUCCAAUCUAGUCUCCUCCCUACUCCUCACCCCUGACUCAUUGCAUUCUAGACCCUCUACCCUUUUGGCUGCUCUUAAGUGUGCCCAAAACACACCUAACUGAGGACAUUUGCACCAGUUAUUCAUUAUGCCUUAAAUAUUCUCCCCACAACUCAUUCUCUUAUCCCAUUCAAGUUUCUCCUCAAAUACUUCUGCUUCUAAAACACCUUCCCUUGCAACCUUAUCAAAAAGUUACAUGCCUUGUUACCUUUUCCAUUUUUCUUACUGUGUUAUAAAGCAUCAACAUUAUAUUGCAUAAUGAUGUAUUUAUUGCUUGUUUCUUUUACUAAAAUGUAAACUGUAUGAAGGUAAGAAUUUUCUAUUGAAAAUUUUCAUAUCCUUGGCCCCUAGAAUAGUGUCUAAUACAUAAAAGAUGCAUAUUAAAUUUUGGGUUGAAUAAAUAAAAGAAAUUGUGACAGCAUGAAAGUUUCCUGACCUGUUCUACUGAAAAUACUAAUAGAUUAGAAGUUAGGAGAUCUGAUUUCUAGUUCUAGUUCUGCUAGUUAAAGUACAUAUCAGGCAACUCAACAUUCUCUAGUCACAAAUUUCUCACUUAUGGAAUUCGGAGUUUUAAAAUUCUGCAUGAUAUAGAGACCAUGGAAGAACUUGGUUGGACACAGGGCAUGUUUGUGAGUUGGGCUUAGAACAUAGUCCUUACUACAGCUAAAGUUUUUCUGCUUUUACCUAUUUUAUGUAUUGGGCUUCCAUAGACACUAGUGUUAAUGCUUGAAGAGCAGAUUUCAUGACUAAGGGAAAAAGAAUAAAAACAUAAUAUAGUUCUAAUUUGUUUAUGUGUUUUCUUCCUUGCUUGGAAUGGCUGUCUCUGUUUGGUAAAUAAAUGUAUCAUGAUUCAUUACAAUAAAA